AGAAUCAACGCUGGCGGCGUGCCUCAGACAUGCAAGUCGAACGCGAAAGUCCCCUUCGGGGGACAAGUAGAGUGGCGCACGGGUGAGUAACACGUAGGUAAUCUACCUUCGGAUGGGGAAUAACAACCGGAAACGGUUGCUAAUACCGCAUAAUGCAGCGGCACCUAAUGGUGACAGUUGUUAAAGCGGGGGAUCGAAAGACCUCGCGUCUGAAGAGGAGCCUGCGGCGGAUUAGCUAGUUGGUAAGGUAACGGCUUACCAAGGCUACGAUCC
rnacentral:rRNA from 1 species